rnacentral:snRNA from 2 species
GUGCUCACUUCGGCAGCACAUUGGAACAAUACAAAAGAGAUUAGAAUAGCCCCUGGGCAAGGAUGACACACAAAUUCGCGAAGCGUUCCAUGUUUUU